rnacentral:rRNA from 1 species
UACGUAGGGGCAAGCGUUGUCCGGAAUCAUUGGGCGUAAAGAGCGCGUAGGCGGCCCAGUAAGUCCGCUCUGAAAGUCAGGGGCUCAACCCCUGAAUGCGGGUGGAUACUGCUGGGCUAGAGUCCGGAAGAGGCGAGUGGAAUUCCUGGUGUAGCGGUGAAAUGCGCAGAUAUCAGGAGGAACACCGAUGGCGAAGGCAGCUCGCUGGGACGGUACUGACGCUGAGGCGCGAAAGCGUGGGGAGCGAACAGG